AGUGAACGCUGGCGGUAGGCCUAACACAUGCAAGUCGAACGGCAGCACAGUAAGAGCCUGCUCUUACGGGUGGCGAGUGGCGGACGGGUGAGGAAUACAUCGGAAUCUACUUUUUCGUGGGGGAUAACGUAGGGAAACUUACGCUAAUACCGCAUACGACCUACGGGUGAAAGCAGGGGAUCUUCGGACCUUGCGCGAUUGAAUGAGCCGAUGUCGGAUUAGCUAGUUGGCGGGGUAAAGGCCCACCAAGGUGACGAUCCGUAGCUGGUCUGAGAGGAUGAUCAGCCACACUGGAACUGAGACACGGUCCAGACUCCUACGGGAGGCAGCAGUGGGGAAUAUUGGACAAUGGGCGCAAGCCUGAUCCAGCCAUACCGCGUGGGCGAAGAAGGCCUUCGGGUUGUAAAGCCCUUUUGUUGGGAAAGAAAAGCAGCAGGUUAAUACCCCGCUGUUCUGACGGUACCCAAAGAAUAAGCACCGGCUAACUUCGUG
rnacentral:rRNA from 1 species